rnacentral:lncRNA from 1 species
CGGCGAGCGCCUGGGCCGGGCCGGGGCGGGCCGCGGCGUCCCGGCCUCGGCGGCCCUCGGCGGCCCUGGGCCCGCGGGGCGGGCUUGGCGGCGCUCUCCUGUGGAGGCGGCAGGCCCCUCGUCGCAGACUCACAGCAUUCUCUGAUUUGGAAAGGGAAGGGCUUGGCACCAGUGCGCGUCAGGGACAGAUCUGGCCUUGUUCAGCCCGGUAAACAAGCAGUGCGGCUUUGCUGCGGUCUGCCUGCACAGUGCUUGCAGUUUGGAAAACUCACACAAACAUGCUGCAGUGACACUGGAAACUUCUUCCAGGAAGAGAAAAGAAAGAAACUCCAAAAUAAAAAUAUUCUGAUGCCUCUGAAACAUAAUUACCUAAUAUGCCACUGAUAUCCAGACCACUCAAAGGAUAGGAGAGUAGUGUACUACAUUGCUUGGGCUCACUGCAUGACACAAGCCUCUGUUCAUCAAGAUUUCUGUGGACAGAUCCAUGCAAAUGCAAAAGAAUUUGACUCUUUAUAUUCUUAAGUUUCAGUAGUUUGUCAGGGUCAGGUGUAAUUGGUCCUGCCAAAUUUCUCAGCCUCUGGAGUGAUAAAAUGCAUCAUCACUUGCUUAGAUUUUGAAAGUCCAAUCUGUGUUAGGAGUCCAAACUUUACAGCUUAUCUAAUGAUACCUGGCAUUCUUGUUUGUCUUCUAUUAUAAUUAAACAUGUUUUAGUAUAAUGUAACAAUAAACGGAAUUAUCCUAUGAAAUAACCUUUUUCA